GAUGAAGAACGUAGCGAAAUGCGAUAAGUAAUGCGAAUUGCAGAAUUUCCGUGAAUCAUCGAAUCUUUGAACGCACAUUGCGCCCUCUGGUAUUCCGGGGGGCAUGCCUGUUCGAGCGUCAUUAUAACCACUCAAGCUCUCGCUUGGUAUUGGGGUUCGCGGUUCCGCGGCCCCUAAAAUCAGUGGCGGUGCCUGUCGGCUCUACGCGUAGUAAUACUCCUCGCGAUUGAGUCCGGUAGGUCUACUUGCCAGCAACCCCCAAUUUUUACAGGUUGACCUCGGAUCAGGUAGGGAUACCCGCUGAACUUAAGCAUAUCAAUAAGCGGAGGA
rnacentral:misc_RNA from 1 species